GUGAAGACCUCGGCAUACUUCUCAGUAACACGUGGAUAAUCUGCCCUCAGAUGAAGAAUAAUCCCGGGAAACUGGGGCUAAUGCUUCAUAGGAGACGGGUGCUGGAAUGCUCUGUCUCUGAAAGGUCCGCCGUCUGAGGAUGAGUCUGCGUCCGAUUAGGUUGUUGUUGGGGUAACGGCCCACCAAGCCUUUGAUCGGUACGGGUUGUGGGAGCAAGAGCCCGGAGAUGGAUUCUGAGACAUGAAUCCAGGCCCUACGGGGCGCAGCAGGCGCGAAAACUUUACAAUGCGAGCAAUCGUGAUAAGGAAACCCUGAGUGCCUGUUAUCGCAGGCUGUUCUGGUGUCUAACACACACCAGGAGAAAGGGCGGGGCAAAGACCGGUGCCAGCCGCCGCGGUAAUACCGGCUGCUCGAGUGAUAGCCACUUUUACUGGGCUUAAAGCGUUCGUAGCUUGGUCG
rnacentral:rRNA from 1 species